GACAGAGGUGCCGAGCGUUAGGCGGAAUCACUGGGCUUAAAGCGUGUGUAGGCGGAGUGCUAAGUACCUUGUGAAAUCCCACGGCUUAACCGUGGAACUGCUUGGUAUACUGGUUCUCUUGAGCCACCUAGGGGCAACCGGAACAAACGGUGGAGCGGUGAAAUGCGUAGAUAUCGUUUGGAACGCCAAUGGUGAAAACAGGUUGCUGGGGGUGUGCUGACGCUGAGACACGAAAGCCAGGGGAGCGAACGGG
rnacentral:rRNA from 1 species